UACGGAGGGAGCUAGCGUUGCUCGGAAUCACUGGGCGUAAAGGGUGCGUAGGCGGGUCUUUAAGUCAGGGGUGAAAUCCUGGAGCUCAACUCCAGAACUGCCUUUGAUACUGAAGAUCUUGAGUUCGGGAGAGGUGAGUGGAACUGCGAGUGUAGAGGUGAAAUUCGUAGAUAUCGCAAGAACACCAGUGGCGAAGGCGGCUCACUGGCCCGAUACUGACGCUGAGGCACGAAAGCGUGGGGAGCAACAGG
rnacentral:rRNA from 1 species